rnacentral:rRNA from 1 species
UACGUAGGGUGCAGGCGUUAAUCGGAAUUACUGGGCGUAAAGCGUGCGCAGGCGGUUUGUUAAGACAGGUGUGAAAUCCCCAGGCUCAACCUGGGAACUGCGUCCGAUACUGGCAGGCUUGAAUCCGGGAGAGGGAUGUGGAAUUCCAGGUGUAGCGGUGAAAUGCGUAGAUAUCUGGAGGAACACCGGUGGCGAAGGCGGCAUCCUGGACCAAUACUGACGCUGAGUGAGCGAAAGCCAGGGGAGCAAACGGG